CAGCCUGAUGCAGCGACGCCGCGUGAGGGAUGACGGCCUUCGGGUUGUAAACCUCUUUCAGCAGGGACGAAGCGCAAGUGACGGUACCUGUAGAAGAAGGACCGGCCAACUACGUGCCAGCAGCCGCGGUAAUACGUAGGGUCCGAGCGUUGUCCGGAAUUACUGGGCGUAAAGAGCUCGUAGGUGGUUUGUCGCGUUGUUCGUGAAAACUCACAGCUCAACUGUGGGCGUGCGGGCGAUACGGGCAGACUUGAGUACUGCAGGGGAGACUGGAAUUCCUGGUGUAGCGGUGGAAUGCGCAGAUAUCAGGAGGAACACCGGUGGCGAAGGCGGGUCUCUGGGCAGUAACUGACGCUGAGGAGCGAAAGCGUGGGGAGCGAACAGGAUUAGAUACCCUGGUAGUCCACGCCGUAAACGGUGGGUACUAGGUGUGGGUUUCCUUCCUUGGGAUCCGUGCCGUAGCUAACGCAUUAAGUACCCCGCCUGGGGAGUACGGCCGCAAGGCUAAAACUCAAAGAAAUUGACGGGGGCCCGCACAAGCGGCGGAGCAUGUGGAUUAAUUCGAUGCAACGCGAAGAACCUUACCUGGGUUUGACAUGCACAGGACGCUGGUAGAGAUAUCAGUUCCCUUGUGGCCUG
rnacentral:rRNA from 1 species